CAAAUGACUCUCGGCAAUGGAUAUCUUGGCUCUUGCAUCGAUGAAGAACGUAGUGAAAUGCGAUACUUGGUGUGAAUUGCAGAAUCUCGUGAACCAUUGAGUCUUUGAACGCAAGUUGUGCCCGAGGCCUUGCGGUCGAGGGCACGCCUGCUUGGGCGUCAUUG
rnacentral:rRNA from 5 species